AAGAGGGAGAUUUAGAUUAGAUGUCAGGGAAAUUUUUAACUGAGGAUGAUGAGGUGCUGGCACAGGCUGCCCAGAGAGGUUGUGGAUGCCCCAUCUCUGGAAGUAUCCAAGGACAGGUUUUAUGGGGCCCUGAGCAGUCUGAUCCACUGCCUUAUUUAGUGGUUGGCAACACUGUCCAAGAUCGGGGGGUGGAAUUAAACUUUUUGGUCUCUUCCAGCCCAAGCCAUUCUAUGAUUCUGUCAAGCAGCAAGGCCCAGCUGAACACAGCCCUGUGCUGCACAGCACCGCCAGGCUCUGAGCUGUGAGUGUGCAGCUGGAGGGAUUCCAGUCACACCCCACUCCUCCUUUCUCCUGUUCUUUCCCCACUCUCCAGGUUGCAGCCAGGAAAAUGGACCAUGGGCAGAAACAAACCUACCUGUAGAGCCCUUGGCUUGGCCUUUUUCAGGCAGCUUUUAUCUUUCCUUUAAAUUCCUGGCUGUGGUGUGCCAGAGCAACAACCAAAUGUUAAAGAUGUUACGGAGCAAACAGUCUGCAGGCUGCACCAGCCUUCAAAUACAGAGGGAAAUGAGCAGCAAUGUUGGGAGAAAGGAGAAGAGCAGGAACUUGAACUUGGUAGAAGAGCCUGGCAUGGAAAACCACUGAGUUCUGACACAUUACAUUUGCUCCUAACUCUUUGAUUUCUAUUCACAGAAUCUGACAUAUGUUGGGCAUUGACCUUGCUCUUUUAAAUAAGCUUAUUUUAGAAGACCUUUGCAAAAUGCUGUCUGUUUGGCCUCGAUGUAAGCUGUGAGGGAAAUGUAGUACAAACACAGAAGUUGUAUGUUUUGAAUGCCAGAGAUGUUACACCAAAGAGCAGUUGGUGUGAUCUAUACUGCUGAAUGCUUUCUGUGCUGAUAGCAAGGCUGUGUCCUUAAAGUAAAUAAAAUUGCUCUUCCUGCAUUGGACAAAUCUUCCCUCUGUUUUGUGUCAGUGUUGUUUUGUUUGGUUCUGUUUGGUUUUUGAGCAGGACCUUCAGGAUCAGGCUUCUUUUUCCAGCCUCAAAUAUUCUGAUUGGGCUCUCAGAUGGUCAGUGGAGUGCAA
ensembl:lncRNA